AAUGAGAGGGUUCUCCGGUAUGAAAGGAUUCAUGAGGUCCACCAUAGUUCAAUAUGAGAGCGCUGCGACCCCGUGAAAACUUUCUCCUUUUUUUAAACAGGGUGGUAUUGUGUAACCGCAAUAUCUGAAAAUUACCAAUUUUCAACCAUAUUUCCACUGCGCGGUUGAAGUUGCAGUCAAUGUCUCAUAACUCUCUGUUUAUGUUGUGCUCUUGGACUGCCUCAUCUCUUCUCUCUUCCUCUGUGUACUCUUUAAUAUUUUGAUCCAGUUGAAGGUGAUUGCCCAAGUAGAAUUCUUGCGCCUCUCUCUCCCUCCGCACUAGUAGCAACAAGGAGAGAGAGAGAGAGAGAGAGAGAGAGAGAGAGAGAGAGAGAGAGAGAGAGAGAGAGAGAGAGAGAG
rnacentral:lncRNA from 1 species